UAAGCGGAGGAAAAGAAACCAACCGGGAUUGCCUUAGUAACGGCGAGUGAAGCGGCAAAAGCUCAAAUUUGAAAUCUGGUACCUUCGGUGCCCGAGUUGUAAUUUGGAGAGGGCAACUUUGGGGCCGUUCCUUGUCUAUGUUCCUUGGAACAGGACGUCAUAGAGGGUGAGAAUCCCGUGUGGCGAGGAGUGCGGUUCUUUGUAAAGUGCCUUCGAAGAGUCGAGUUGUUUGGGAAUGCAGCUCUAAGUGGGUGGUAAAUUCCAUCUAAAGCUAAAUAUUGGCGAGAGACCGAUAGCGAACAAGUACAGUGAUGGAAAGAUGAAAAGAACUUUGAAAAGAGAGUGAAAAAGUACGUGAAAUUGUUGAAAGGGAAGGGCAUUUGAUCAGACAUGGUGUUUUGUGCCCUCUGCUCCUUGUGGGUAGGGGAAUCUCGCAUUUCACUGGGCCAGCAUCAGUUUUGGUGGCAGGAUAAAUCCAUAGGAAUGUAGCUUGCCUCGGUAAGUAUUAUAGCCUGUGGGAAUACUGCCAGCUGGGACUGAGGACUGCGACGUAAGUCAAGGAUGCUGGCAU
rnacentral:rRNA from 1 species